UACGGAGGGGGCUAGCGUUGUUCGGAAUUACUGGGCGUAAAGCGCACGUAGGCGGCUUUGCAAGUUAGAGGUGAAAGCCCGGGGCUCAACUCCGGAAUUGCCUUUAAAACUGCAUCGCUAGAAUUGUGGAGAGGUAAGUGGAAUUCCGAGUGUAGAGGUGAAAUUCGUAGAUAUUCGGAAGAACACCAGUGGCGAAGGCGACUUACUGGACACAUAUUGACGCUGAGGCGCGAAAGCGUGGGGAGCGAACAGG
rnacentral:rRNA from 1 species